rnacentral:lncRNA from 1 species
CGUUGUACUCCUCCUUGGCAGCAUCAAUCAGGCAGGGCUCAGCCCACACCCGGCUCCUAAAGACAAGAGAGCAGAGAAAGCAGAAUGGUGUUUAGAGACCAUCGCAGUGACCUGAUCCUGAAAGCACCUGUAGGAAAUUGGCCUCCGCCAAGUGAAUGUGACAAUGCAGUCAGCCACAGUGACGGAGUGCAAGAUCGGAUCACCACACAGAUCCAAGAGACCGCUCACCACACCUGAGAAACAAGAACCCAAGACAGCCUCAUGGAGGUGGAACCGUGCUACGCAGUUAUGGCUUCACUACUGAAUGCGAUCUUGCAAAAGUGAUUUAACCUCUGUGAGCCUCAGUUUCCUCAUCUGUAAAAUGAGUGAAGAUUAAAUAAGACAACACACAAAAGCCCUUCAAACAUUUAUACAGUAAAUGUUAGUUUUCUUCUCCCUACUUAGAGGAGAGAUAAGAAAGCGUUCUAAUAGUAGAAUCUGGAAUUGAAUAAAACCUUAAGAGACAAA